GACGAAUGCUGGCGGCGUGCCUAAUACAUGCGAGUAGAACGCUGAAGGAGGAGCUUGCUUCUCUGGAUGAGUUGCGAACGGGUGAGUAACGCGUAGGUAACCUGCCUGGUAGCGGGGGAUAACUUUUGGAAACGAUAGCUAAUACCGCAUAAUAGUAGAUGUUGCAUUACAUUUGCUUAAAAGGUGCAAUUGCAUCACUACCAGAUGGAGCUGCGUUGUAUUAGCUAGUUGGUGGGGUAAAGGCCCACCAAGGCGACGAUACGUAGGCGGCCUGAGAGGGGGGUGGGCCACACUGGGAAUGGGGAACGGCCCAGACGCCGACGGGAGGCAGCAGUGGGGAAUUUUCGGGAAGGGCCGGAAGUAUGACCAAGCAACGCCGCGGGGGGGAAGAAGGUUUUCGGGGCGUAAAGCUCUGUUGUAGGGAAAGAACGGGUGGAGGGGUGGAAAGUGCACCCUUGAAGGUAAUCUAACAAGAAAGGGCGGCUAAACUCGUG
rnacentral:rRNA from 1 species